rnacentral:rRNA from 1 species
UGAGUAACCUGCCCUUAACUCUGGGAUAAGCCUGGGAAACUGGGUCUAAUACCGGAUAUGACUCCUCAUCGCAUGGUGGGGGGUGGAAAGCUUUAUUGUGGUUUUGGAUGGACUCGCGGCCUAUCAGCUUGUUGGUGGGUAAUGGCUCACCAAGGCGACGACGGGUAGCCGGCCUGAGAGGGUGACCGGCCACACUGGGACUGAGACACGGCCCAGACUCCUACGGGAGGCAG